rnacentral:rRNA from 1 species
AUAAGCGCACACGGUGGAUGCCUUGGCGGUCAGAGGCGAUGAAGGACGUGGCAGCCUGCGAAAAGUAUCGGGGAGCUGGCAACAAGCUUUGAUCCGGUAAUGUCCGAAUGGGGAAACCCACCCGCUUGCGGGUAUCCUGCAGUGAAUACAUAGCUGCUGGAAGCGAACCUGGUGAACUGAAAUAUCUAAGUAACCAGAGGAAAAGAAAUCAACCGAGAUUCCGUAAGUAGCGACGAGCGAACGCGGACUAGCCCUUAAGCUGAUUUGGUUCUAGGAAAACGCUCUGGAAAGAGCGGCCAUAGAAGGUGAUAGCCCUGUAUCUGAAAGGGCCAUUUCAGUGAAGACGAGUAGGGCGGGGCACGUGAAACCCUGUCUGAACAUGGGGGGACCAUCCUCCAAGGCUAAAUACUACUGACCGACCGAUAGUGAACCAGUACCGUGAGGGAAAGGCGAAAAGAACCCCGGAGAGGGGAGUGAAAUAGAUCCUGAAACCGUGUGCGUACAAGCAGUAGGAGCUCCGCAAGGAGUGACUGCGUACCUUUUGUAUAAUGGGUCAGCGACUUACUGUUCGUGGCAAGCUUAACCGUAUAGGGGAGGCGAAGGGAAACCGAGUCUGAUAAGGGCGCAUAGUCGCGGGCAGUAGACCCGAAACCGGGUGAUCUAGUCAUGGCCAGGGUGAAGGUGCCGUAACAGGUACUGGAGGCCCGAACCCACGUCUGUUGCAAAAGACGGGGAUGAGCUGUGAUUAGGAGUGAAAAGCUAAUCGAACCCGGAGAUAGCUGGUUCUCCUCGAAAGCUAUUUAGGUAGCGCCUCAUAUGUAUCCUCUCGGGGGUAGAGCACUGUUAUGGCUAGGGGGUCAUCGCGACUUACCAAACCAUUGCAAACUCCGAAUACCGAGACGGACUGUAUGGGAGACACACGGCGGGUGCUAACGUCCGUCGUGAAAAGGGAAACAACCCAGACCCACAGCUAAGGUCCCAAAUUCACUGCUAAGUGGAAAACCAUGUGGAAAGGCACAGACAGCCAGGAGGUUGGCUUAGAAGCAGCCACCCUUUAAAGAAAGCGUAAUAGCUCACUGGUCGAGUCGGUCUGCGGGGAAGAUUUAACGGGGCUAAGCAGUGAACCGAAGCUUGGGGUGUGCAUAUUUAUAUGUACGCGGUAGAGGAGCGUUCCGUAAGCCGUUGAAGGUGGAUUGAGAAGUCUGCUGGAGGUAUCGGAAGUGCGAAUGCUGACAUGAGUAACGAUAAUGCGGGUGAAAAACCCGCACGCCGAAAGCCCAAGGUUUCCUUGCGCAACGUUAAUCGGCGCAGGGUGAGUCGGCCCCUAAGGCGAGGACGAAAGUCGUAGUCGAUGGGAAGCAGGUUAAUAUUCCUGCACCUCGCGUAAGUGCGAUGGAGGGACGGAGAAGGUUAGGUGUACCAGGCGUUGGUUGUCCUGGGGAAAGGCGGUAGGUUUGGAUCUUUGGCAAAUCCGGGAUCCUUUAAGACCGAGCACCGAGACGAGCCUUUAAGGCGAAGUCACUGAUACCACGCUUCCAGGAAAAGCUCCUAAGCUUCAGCUUACGCAGACCGUACCGUAAACCGACACAGGUGGGUAGGAUGAGAAUUCUCAGGCGCUUGAGAGAACUCGGGUGAAGGAACUAGGCAACAUGGCACCGUAACUUCGGGAGAAGGUGCACCCUUUUUGGUGGCUCGUGCGAGCUAUAGCUGAAGAGGGUCGCAGUAACCAGGCCGCUGCGACUGUUUAUCAAAAACACAGCACUCUGCAAACACGAAAGUGGACGUAUAGGGUGUGACGCCUGCCCGGUGCUGGAAGGUUAAUUGAUGGGGUCAGCCGCAAGGCGAAGCUCUUGAUCGAAGCCCCAGUAAACGGCGGCCGUAACUAUAACGGUCCUAAGGUAGCGAAAUUCCUUGUCGGGUAAGUUCCGACCUGCACGAAUGGCGUAACGACAGCGGCGCUGUCUCCACCCGAGACUCAGUGAAAUUGAAAUCGCUGUGAAGAUGCAGCGUUCCCGUGGCAAGACGGAAAGACCCCGUGAACCUUUACUAUAGCUUUACACUGAACGUUGAGUUCGUCUGUGUAGGAUAGGUGGGAGGCUAUGAAACUGUGGCGCUAGCUGCAGUGGAGCCAUCCUUGAAAUACCACCCUGUCGUGCUUGACGUUCUAACCUGGGCCCAUUAUCUGGGUCGGGGACCGUGUAUGGUGGGUAGUUUGACUGGGGCGGUCUCCUCCUAAAGAGUAACGGAGGAGCUCGAAGGUACGCUCAGCGCGGUCGGACAUCGCGCACUGUGUGCAAAGGCAUAAGCGUGCUUGACUGCAAGAUCGACGGAUCAAGCAGGUAGGAAACUAGGACUUAGUGAUCCGGUGGUUCUGUAUGGAAGGGCCAUCGCUCAACGGAUAAAAGGUACUCCGGGGAUAACAGGCUGAUACCGCCCAAGAGUUCAUAUCGACGGCGGUGUUUGGCACCUCGAUGUCGGCUCAUCACAUCCUGGGGCUGUAGUCGGUCCCAAGGGUAUGGCUGUUCGCCAUUUAAAGUGGUACGCGAGCUGGGUUCAGAACGUCGUGAGACAGUUCGGUCCCUAUCUGCCAUGGGCGUUGGAGAUUUGAGAGGGGCUGCUCCUAGUACGAGAGGACCGGAGUGGACGAACCUCUGGUGUUCCGGUUGUCACGCCAGUGGCAUUGCCGGGUAGCUAUGUUCGGAAGCGAUAACCGCUGAAAGCAUCUAAGCGGGAAGCGCGCCUCAAGAUGAGAUCUCCCGGGGCACAAGCCCCCUGAAGGAACCAUAUAGACUAUGUGGUUGAUAGGUCAGGUGUGUAAGUACAGCAAUGUAUUGAGCUAACUGAUACUAAUGAUCCGUGUGGCUUGACC